rnacentral:lncRNA from 1 species
AGGGGGAAAAAGAUGAUUUGUAUUUUAUUUAAAUCACUAAGAAUAAUUUUGUUACUUGAAAUGUCUUUCAGGAUUGGAGGGACUUUUUAAAGGUGUCCAUGGGAAACGUAUUAAAUGAGUGCAUGAAAAAUAAAGGUUCUAACAGAUCACCCCACGUUAAAAAAAACAGUUGAGUACCGAAGCGCUUCUAAACCUGAAGAAGGAAAGUAUCUCUUGCUUUUCAGAAUUACCAGAUGGGGCUUUUCACAUCCCUUUCAGAGCACUGAGGCUCAGUGUUUGUACAAGUCUUCACUCUUGAGGCCCUGAAUCAUGUUCACCCAAUGAAGAAGACUUCAACAGAGGACUGGACAGGACUCAUUUGGAGAAAACCAAUUCUCUCUUCUUCAAUCGGCAAGAAAGGACAAAGUUGAGUAUGGGUUGAGGGACUCAGAAGUAGUUUGGGCUCUAGCUACAGUG